CUAUGGGGCACAAGCCAGGAAUGCUGAGGACAGGUCCAAGGCAGAUGGGUCUGUUCCGAGAACUGUAUCAGCUCCUAUCAUGUUUUCCAUAAGUUUGUUUGCAACUGCGCUAUCAGAAAGGGGGGGAAUGGGGAAAUUAACACAUAUUCAGUCUUUACUAAAAUGCUAGGCUGGCCCUAUUUAGGCAAACUUCCAUCUAUUUUAAGUAAUCCACAAUUAAAUACAACCAUAUAGAUAGUAUUGUUGUUCACAGUUUACAGUUGAGGAUCAGAGAUGUUAAGUGACUUUCCCGAUGUCACACAGCUAGUGAGUUGAAGAGUCAGCAUUGGAACCCAGGUUCUUGCAAUCCCAAUACUUCUGCUUUUCCUUCUAUAUCUCAAUGUUGGCAUUUUUAAAAAAGGAAAAUAACCAAAUACUAUUACAAUGAAUAUUCUCUUAAUGAUGACAUAUAACAAUACACCACAAGAGAACAGAACAAAAAUUGAAGGGACAAGUAAACCUUCUCUUGGAUCUCAUCUAUGAAGACACAGAAGCAGAUUCAAGUGUGUACUGAGCACUUAGGGUAACAACCAGGAAUCAUCUGGAGCAAUUUACAUGGCUUAUCUCAUUUAAUUCUCACAAACUCCUAUGAGGUAAAUGUUAUUAUUCUUACAUUACAGAAGAAGACGCUGAGGCUCAGAGAGGUUAAUUAAUUUGCCCAAGAUCACACAGCUAGCAAGUGGUUAGCAGGAAAUUUGCCCAUCUGACCUGUUUCCUAGAAGCUAUGAAUGGAACUGAGGCUAUCUUUGAUUUCAUCGAGUGCUAGCCUUUGAAUGAAACAUUUGCAGCAAAACAACACACUUCUCCUAAAGGCAAAUUUUGAUCAUGAUCACAAAGAUGCAAAAAACCGGUUUGAAUUAAUACUGAAUGAUCAAGCAUUUUCAUUCUUGAAUAAAAUAACACAUCCAGAAGGCAAGAGUAUGUUAUUGACACACAAGACCAGACACAAUAUGUGAAUGGUCCAUCCAGCCUGGCCCUCUGGGGCUCACAGCCCUCAAUGGCCAUGCCAAGCCAGAGUCUAUUUUUAGCUCCAAACUACACAGUAGCUAGCAAACAUUGUUAAUGUUCUCUUGAUCUUUAGACCGAGAGUGAUAAACGAAUGUCGUGUUCCCAAACAGCCAAAGCUCUGUACAUGAGCCUGGCCAGAACGAAGGUCAAGUCCAACUGGAGUUGUUUGCUCUGCUUUUCUGUUAAAAAAUUUUUUUUAUCUGCUCCUGCAACUGUCCACCCCACUUAUUUUGUGAUAAAAUGUUUAUUGAGGAAGAUACCAAUAAGCAACAUGGAAAAAAGAAAACACAUUUAAUUUUCUACCCAGCAAUAACAAUUUUGAUGUGGUCUCCCACUCUCUGUAUUCUAUUUACCAACAUAAGAUUAUUAAUUUUGGGGAGGCAUAAAAUGAUGCCAUUGGGAACACCAUGUCAGAUCGUUAACUAUCGUCACUUUAAUGGCCUCACAGGGACCUGGUGGAGACACCAUGGAGAAGCAGGAAAAUGCUGUGGGUAUGGCUGCAGGCUGAGGCUUCCAUUUUUGGCACCCUCUCUUGCUUUGAGGGAGCAGUUGCCACAUUGUAAGCGGCUCUGUGAAGAGGUCCACGUAUCAAGGAACUGAGAGUGGCUUCUGGCUGACAGCAUCCAAGGAACUGAAUCCAGCCACAACCCCGUAAGUGGGACUGCCAGUAGAUCGUCCAACCGCCAAGUUGAGCCAUCAUAUGAGACCACAGCCCCAGCUGACAGCUCCAUUACACCCUCAUGACAGACCUUGAGCCAGAGGAUCUGGCUAAGUCACCCCUGGAGUCCCAACCCGCAGAAACUGUGAGAUAAUAAACAUAGGAUCCCAAUCUGCUAAAUCUGGAGGUAUGUGUUACGUGGCGGCAGAUAAUCAAUACAGUGGCUCGGGUCCUGGAGCCAACUGGGCUUAGCUCAAAAGCCUGGCUCAGCCGCUCAUCAGCUCUGUGGCUCUGGCAACUUAAUUUCCCUGACUUGAAGUUUCCUUUACCUUAAGGAGUGGAGGUGAGGGCUAAAUGGGUUAAAAGUAAGCUGUAAUUCCUAUCAUUUUUUAAUCCUUCCCCUGGUUGCUACUUGCCUAAUAGCAGUGUACGAGAGUACACGUAUUCCUGUAUCUUUGCCAACACUGUGUUUUAGUAUUCUUAAAAAACCAUAUUCUGGCUUACUAGAUAUCCCAAAUCAAUAAGUCAAAAGAGAAGACAAAAUCUCACCAUAUGGUUUUCUAAAUCAUAAAUGUGCCAAAAAAGAUUCAGCUCCAGCCAAGAAAAUGCAGAAGAGGUAAAGGUCGAGAAGAAUAAGGAAAAGACUGAGAAACUGUCACAGACCAGAGGAGGCCAUGGAAGAUGAGACAAAUCAAUGCAAUGUGUGUACCUGGAUUGGAUCCUGGAGCAGAAAAAGACAUUAAAGGAAAAAUGAGUGAAAGCCAAAUAAAAGUCUGGAGUUUGGUUAAUGGUAACAUACCAAGAGCCUCGAUGUUGCCCAGGCUGGAGUACAGUGGCACGA